GAAAAGCCUCUAAGCAUCAGGUAACACGAAAUCGUACCCCAAACCGACACAGGUGGUCAGGUAGAGAAUACCAAGGCGCUUGAGAGAACUCGGGUGAAGGAACUAGGCAAAAUGGUGCCGUAACUUCGGGAGAAGGCACGCUGACACGUAGGUGAAGUGAUUUACUCAUGGAGCUGAAGUCAGUCGAAGAUACCAGCUGGCUGCAACUGUUUAUUAAAAACACAGCACUGUGCAAACACGAAAGUGGACGUAUACGGUGUGACGCCUGCCCGGUGCCGGAAGGUUAAUUGAUGGGGUCAGCGCAAGCGAAGCUCCUGAUCGAAGCCCCGGUAAACGGCGGCCGUAACUAUAACGGUCCUAAGGUAGCGAAAUUCCUUGUCGGGUAAGUUCCGACCUGCACGAAUGGCGUAAUGAUGGCCAGGCUGUCUCCACCCGAGACUCAGUGAAAUUGAACUCGCUGUGAAGAUGCAGUGUACCCGCGGCAAGACGGAAAGACCCCGUGAACCUUUACUAUAGCUUGACACUGAACAUUGAGCCUUGAUGUGUAGGAUAGGUGGGAGGCUUUGAAGUGUGGACGCCAGUCUGCAUGGAGCCGACCUUGAAAUACCACCCUUUAAUGUUUGAUGUUCUAACGUGGACCCGUAAUCCGGGUUGCGGACAGUGUCUGGUGGGUAGUUUGACUGGGGCGGUCUCCUCCUAAAGAGUAACGGAGGAGCACGAAGGUUGGCUAAUCCUGGUCGGACAUCAGGAGGUUAGUGCAAUGGCAUAAGCCAGCUUGACUGCGAGCGUGACGGCGCGAGCAGGUGCGAAAGCAGGUCAUAGUGAUCCGGUGGUUCUGAAUGGAAGGGCCAUCGCUCAACGGAUAAAAGGUACUCCGGGGAUAACAGGCUGAUACCGCCCAAGAGUUCAUAUCGACGGCGGUGUUUGGCACCUCGAUGUCGGCUCAUCACAUCCUGGGGCUGAAGUAGGUCCCAAGGGUAUGGCUGUUCGCCAUUUAAAGUGGUACGCGAGCUGGGUUUAGAACGUCGUGAGACAGUUCGGUCCCUAUCUGCCGUGGGCGCUGGAGAACUGAGGGGGGCUGCUCCUAGUACGAGAGGACCGGAGUGGACGCAUCACUGGUGUUCGGGUUGUCAUGCCAAUGGCACUGCCCGGUAGCUAAAUGCGGAAGAGAUAAGUGCUGAAAGCAUCUAAGCACGAAACUUGCCCCGAGAUGAGUUCUCCCUGAGACUUAGAGUCUCCUGAAGGAACGUUGAAGACGACGACGUUGAUAGGCCGGGUGUGUAAGCGCAGCGAUGCGUUGAGCUAACCGGUACUAAUGAACCGUGAGGCUUAACCUU
rnacentral:rRNA from 1 species